UGUCCUGUUUCACAAGUUGCCAAUUGUUCUAAAAAAACAAAACAAUUUUAUAAUGGUUGAUCUACAAGUUCACACUGUUAUUUAUAUUAUUAUUUUUCUACUUUCUUUUUUCCAUGUGUUUUCUUUCCAGCCAAAUUGAAUAUGGCCUCUAAUUAUUUGAAAGAGUGGCGGAGAAAAAGAGCUAGGGAGGGUGAUUUCAUGGAUGAAUUUUUGAAUUGGAUUCAAGGUAAGGAUUUAUCAGGUUUGGCAGUGGUUUUUAAGUAGGGUGGGGGCUAUUUUAAAAUAGUGCAACAGCAUAUGAUUUGGUGUUUGAAAGCCAAAGUUAAGCACCACACUCAUCAUCCAUUUAUUGUCUCGUUCUCGGAUUUUGCAGUGAGGAAGAGGGUUUAUUCCUACCCAAUGCCUGAGAAAAGUAAGAGUGGCAUAACUACAGUACAAAAUGUUAAGUAAUGUAUUCUAAUUAUUGAAUUGAAUGUUACUAAAUCAUAUCUUUUCACCAAGAGUUCCAGCGGGUGGUCGUGGAAACACUUUUGGAAAUCUGCGAUGAAUUGAAAUCGCUCAACCAGCAGGGGGACAUUGAAGAUGAGGGUGAGCAGAUACGUCAGUUGCCGUUAAGGACUUUGGAGGAGGCUCAGCGCAUGUCGUUGGAAAUCAGUAGGCACCCCAGCGUAAAACGUUUACUGGUAAGUCAAAUAGAGAUGCUAAAAAUGACAGAAAUCUAUACAUUAGACACUCUUGAUAAUUUGAUUAUAUCAUACAGAUAAAACAACUGUCACACCUUGGGGGGAAGGACAUUGAGACCUGCACACGCAGGAUCCUGGACAGGUAUGAAUAUGACAGCAAGACAAUGUUAUUAAUAUAAUCAUGUAUUGUUGGUGUUUAUCAAGUCUUUCUAGUGAAUUGCAAGAGUGAGCAGUAUUAUGGUGCGUUCACACAGGCACUUGCGCAACAGCAGCGAGGGUUUCUCUGAGGUUUUAGGGAAUUGUUCCGCAAAUAAAGAGCAGCGCUGGACACGGUAUCCGACGAGAUCGAGGGGAAACCUAGAGCGGGUGUGACGUAAUGCGCAACGCGAAUUGCUGGUGGCAAAGUGACACGUUUUAGGACACAAGACAGGACAAGUUGCGUUGCCUGUCCGGUGUGAACGCACCUUAAGAGAUUUAUUUGUCUUUGAUAUCCAUUUCAGAAUUUUACACAAUGACGUGCAGAGGAAGUACAACCUCCUGGUGGAGGACACUAGGGGAAAAAAGGCUUUAAGAAAACUGCUUUCUUCACAGUUGUUCUUGGUAAGUGAAUUAUAUCUCUGCAAGUUAUUACUUAUUCUUGGUCAUGUUACUGACUCAUUUAAAGCCUGAAGCUGUAAAAAAAGUGAAGAAUCCUUCCGGACAAUACUAGAUAAUUUCUACACUUACUAUGAUUCAAGUUUCUUUUGUUUUUUUUUUCUUUUUGCAGAGUCUGUUCGCAUCAACUUCCCGACAGCAACAGAGGAACUGGUCGCAGCAUCGAUUGGGGACCAUUUGAAACAGGCACCAGCUCGAUGUGGUGGGAGGGGCACCACCACAACACCACCCUGC
rnacentral:lncRNA from 1 species